UACGAAGGGGGCUAGCGUUGUUCGGAUUUACUGGGUUUAAAGGGUGCGUAGGCGGACAGGUAAGUCCGUGGUGAAAUCUCUGAGCUUAACUCAGAAACUGCCAUGGAUACUAUUUGUCUUGAAUACUGUGGAGGUAAGCGGAAUAUGUCAUGUAGCGGUGAAAUGCUUAGAUAUGACAUGGAACACCAAUUGCGAAGGCAGCUUACUACACAGCUAUUGACGCUGAGGCACGAAAGCGUGGGGAUCAAACAGG
rnacentral:rRNA from 1 species